rnacentral:rRNA from 1 species
UACGUAGGGGGCUAGCGUUGUCCGGAAUCAUUGGGCGUAAAGAGCGCGUAGGCGGCUGGAAUAGUCCGGUGUGAAAUCCACAGGCUUAACCUGUGAAUGCCGCUGGAAACUGUCUGGCUAGAGUCCGGAAGGGGCGAGUGGGAAUUCCUCGGUGUAGCGGUGAAAUGCGCAGAUAUCAGGAGGAACACCAAUGGCGAAGGCAGCUCGCUGGGACGGAACUGACGCUGAGGCGCGAAAGCGUGGGGAGCGAACAGG